rnacentral:rRNA from 1 species
CCUGGCGGCCUUAGCGCGGUGGUCCCACCUGACCCCAUGCCGAACUCAGAAGUGAAACGCCGUAGCGCCGAUGGUAGUGUGGGGUCUCCCCAUGCGAGAGUAGGAAACUGCCAGGC